rnacentral:tRNA from 1 species
GGCUAGCUCAGUCGUUAGAGCAUGAGACUCUCAGGGCCAUGGGUUCGAGCCCCACAUUGGCCA